rnacentral:snRNA from 1 species
GUGCUCACUUCGGCAGCGCAUAUACUAAAAUUGGAACGAUACAGAGAAGAUUAGCAUGGCCCCUGCACAAGGAUGACAUGCAAAUUCAUGAAAUGUUCCAUAUUUUU